CUGAUUCUCAGCGGAGAAUCUUUGUUCUCUCAGAGAGAAUCUUUGUUCUCGCAGAUCGGCCUGGAAUUGUCGGGGAAAAUGGCCGUCCGGAGGAAAAGGAAGGAUAAUAAUAAAGCUUCCGUCGGGAGAAUUUCACAAAAGCAGAGUCACAUUUCAAAGCAGCUGCCGGUCCCCACUGAGGGGACCCGGGAAGAGACAGCCGCAUCUGUGAGCGCCUGUUUAGUUUCUGUCUGAAACCUGCCAGAAUCCGCACGCGGCUGUCAGCCACCAGAUGAGGAACAUGAAGCAAAAAGGGACUUGCCCAAGGCACCCAGCAAGUCAACAGCAAAUCUAUGACUAGAACUCAGGUCACGCGAUGUCCAGCUCACCAUGGUCUUGUUCGAAGACUGCCUCCUGGUUCACAUUGCCUCCUCUCUGUAGAAAGGAGCACGGAAACAGCCCUGCAUCAACCUCACUUCCUAAUGCAUCCAGACCAGACCCUUGCGCUGUUGAAUGAAUAGAUGAACCAUUGAAUGGAUUCACCUUUACCCUAAAGACAGAAUGCCAUCAACCUCCUGUCAUGGUGCAAGUAUUCUACUUUUAAAGAAUCUAAUUUAUAAUUCUGGUUAAACACUCUGGGUUGCCAUCACAUUUUAAAUAGGAAAUCUUUGUAAAAUCCACAAAGGGCCCCUAGAUCUCAUCUUUUGCCAUCUCUGGGGACUCAGUCUUCACCUGCCAAGGGGUGAGAAGAUGGGGAGAACAAGGAUAGCUGGGAAGAAGGGACCCAGGCAUUAGCACUCAUGCCAGGGAUUACACGCACUAAUUACAAUGCAGAGUAGCCCAAGCGCCCCAUUUCCAAAGAUCAGCAACGCCAAGAAGUCAAUGAGGCUAGAAGUUCAAGUUGGCAACUGGAGCGAGCAGUGGGGCUCCAGGGUGGGAGGUGGGGACCCGGAUGGAACAGCGCCAGCCAGGCAGGCAGCUCCCACUUGGAGAGAUGAAAGGCUUUCUGAUGGCUGCACGUAACUCAUAAUAACAUAAUUUUAUUCUUAGAAGUGAUUUCCAUUACCGGCCCUGUUUAUUAUCACAUUAUUUUCUCAAUAGCAGCAAUAAACACACUAAACUCUCCCUGUUUGCUCACAUUUUUAUUACUGUUCACAGGCGUCAGGAAAGGGUAAGCUGUGAAGGAUGCACUCAUCAUCCAGGAGCCCGUGUGCUGCUGGCACUUUCUUCCAGCUUCAAGAACCCCUGCUCUUUGGGCUGGAAGGUGCCCAGGAGCUGGAGGAACCUCCUAAGGGACAGGAAACAGGGAAGGAACUAGGCAGAGGGGCCCAAGCUGAUCGGAGCCAAGGCUGACCAGUGAGGAAUUGGUUCCAAUUUCUCUGUUUCUGUUUUUGACCUAGUAGACAAAGUGUAAAUACCCAAAGCAAAGCUCAGCUGGGAAAGAAUCUGCCUGCAAUGCAGGAGACCCUGGUUCAAUUCCUGGGUCAGGAAGUUCCCCUAGAGAAGGGAUAGAAUACCCACUCCAGUAUGUUUGGGCUUCCCUGGUAGCUCAGACAGUAAAGAAUCUGCCUGCAAUGUGGGAGACCUGGGUUCAAGGGUUGGGAAGAUCCCCUGGAGGAGGGUGUGGCAACCCACUCCAGUAUUCUUGCCUAGAGAAUCCCCAUGGACCAGAGGAGCCUGGAAGGCUACAGUCCCAGGGGUUGCAAAGACCCAGACAUGAUGAGUGUCUAAGCACACAGACAAAGUAUAAAUAAAUACCCCAAGCAAACAUAUGAACACUCUGUAGACUGUUCCUCAAAGCCUAAGCCAUGGCCCUUCACUGGAUUAGGAAACAAAUUUAAUGGGUCUGGACCAGCAUUUUAUUAUUUUUUAGCCUAAUUUUCAUUUUAUAUUAUAGUUGAUUGACAAUGUUGUAUUAGUUUAAGAUGUGAAAGUGAUUCAUUUGUGAAAAGAGAUUCAGUUAUACAUAUACCUACAUCCACUCUUUUUCAGAUUCUCUUCCCACAUAGGUUAUUACAGAGCAUUGAAUAAAGUUCCCUGUGCUACAUAGUAGGUCCUUGUUGAUUAUCUAUUUCAUACAAAAGUGUGUAUAUGUUAAUCACAAACUCCUACCUUAUCUUUCCCUCUACCUUCCCCCUUUGGUAACCAUAAGUUCAUUUUCUAUGUUUGUGAG
ensembl:lncRNA